rnacentral:rRNA from 1 species
GGAGUUUGGGCCGUGUCUCAGUCCCAAUGUGGCCGUCCGCCCUCUCAGGCCGGCUACUGAUCGUCGCUUUGGUGGGCCGUUACCCCGCCUACUAUCUAAUCAGACGCAUCCUCAUCCAUCGCCGAUAAAUCUUUACUGUGUUCGAGAUGUCUCAAUCACAGACCAUCAGGUAUUAAUCUUUCUUUCGAAAGGCUAUCCCUGAGCCAUGGGUAGAUUGGAUACGUGUUACGCACCCGUGCGCCGGUCGCCAUCUAUCAAAGCAAGCUUCGAUAAUGCUGCCCCUCGACUUGCAUGUGUUAAGCCUGUAGCUAGCGUUCAUC